AGAGAGAGACAUGCGCGCAUAUCAAUAAGCGGAGGAAAAGAAACUAACAAGGAUUCCCUUAGUAACGGCGAGUGAAGCGGGAAGAGCCUCAAAUUUGAAAUCUUCAAGGUUUUACCUUGACGAAUUGUAGUUUAAAGAAGUGUUUUCUGCUGAAGUUUUGGUAAAAGUUCUUUGGAAUAGGACAUCAUAGAGGGUGAGAAUCCCGUAUUUGACCAUUAUUUUCAGCUUUGUGAUACACUUUCAAAGAGUCGGAUUGUUUGGGAAUGCAGUCCAAAAUGGGUGGUAAAUUUCAUCUAAAGCUAAAUAUUGGCGAGAGACCGAUAGCGAACAAGUACCGUGAGGGAAAGAUGAAAAGAACUUUGAAAAGAGAGUUAAACAGUACGUGAAAUUGUCAAAAGGGAAGCGUUUGACACCAGUGUUGUUUUCUCGAAAAUCAAUUAAAAAUGGCUCGAUUUUGUAUUGCUUGAGACCUUAAAAGCUCACUGUACAUUUUUCGUGUCUUUUUUAAUGCACUUUUCGUUUAACAAGUCAACAUCAGUUUCUUUUGUUGUAAAAGGGUCAUUGGAAGGUGGCUUUCUUUUCGGAGAAAGUGUUUAUAGCCUUUGGCCUCUGCAAUCGGAGAGACUGAGGUCUGCAGCGUAGACUCUUCGGGGUUAGAUACAUUUGUGCUAAGUUAUAGCUUUUUAUAGACAACUUGUUGACUAUAAUUAGUCUUGUAGCUUACUCGCUUAUGCUAUUUUACCUACGCUUAGGAUGUUGAAGAUGUAGCACAUCAU
rnacentral:rRNA from 1 species